UACGUAGGGGGCAAGCGUUGUCCGGAUUUAUUGGGCGUAAAGCGCUCGCAGGUGGUUCGUCGCGUCGUGCGUGAAAGACCCCGGCUCAACUGGGGAGGGUCGUGCGAUACGGGCGGACUGGAGGCCAGUAGGGGGAUGCGGAAUUCCGGGUGUAGUGGUGGAAUGCGUAGAGAUCCGGAGGAACACCAGCGGCGAAGGCGAGUCUCUGGACAUUUCCUGACGCUGAGGCACGAAAGCCAGGGGAGCAAACGGGG
rnacentral:rRNA from 1 species